AUCUCCAGACAAGCGUUGUGACGCUGCAAAAUCACGCAGUCCGACCCCACCGAGCAGGAGUCACUCCAGAUCCAGGUCCCGAAGUCGCUCCCGCUCCAGAUCACGAUCUUCAGACAAGCGUCGUGACGCUGCAAAAUCACGCAGUCCGACACCAGCGAGCAGGAGUCACUCCAGAUCCAGGUCCCAAAGUC